GCGGGCGGGGCCGGGGGUG
rnacentral:miRNA from 1 species